UACGUAGGGUGCAAGCGUUGUCCGGAAUUACUGGGCGUAAAGCGCACGUAGGCGGCUUUGUAAGUAAGAGGUGAAAGCCCAGAGCUCAACUCUGGAAUUGCCUUUUAGACUGCAUCGCUUGAAUCAUGGAGAGGUCAGUGGAAUUCCGAGUGUAGAGGUGAAAUUCGUAGAUAUUCGCAAGAACACCAGUGGCGAAGGCGGCUCACUGGCCCGGUACUGACGCUGAGGUGCGAAAGCCAGGGGAGCAAAGCGGG
rnacentral:rRNA from 1 species